rnacentral:rRNA from 1 species
GACGAACGCUGGCGGCGUGCUUAACACAUGCAAGUCGAACGGUGAAGCGCCUUCCUUUUUGGUGGGUGUGGAUGAGUGGCGAACGGGUGAGUAACACGUGAGUAACCUGCCCCCUUCUUCUGGAUAACCGCAUGAAAGUGUGGCUAAUACGGGAUAUUCUGGGUCUGUCGCAUGAUGGGUCUGGGAAAGAUAUUGUUUCGGUGGGGGAUGGGCUCGCGGCCUAUCAGCUUGUUGGUGGGGUGAUGGCCUACCAAGGCGGUGACGGGUAGCCGGCCUGAGAGGGUGGACGGGCACAAUGGGACUGAGACACGGCCCAGACUCCGACGGGAGGCAGCAGUGGGGAAUAUUGCACAAUGGGCGCAAGCCUGAUGCAGCGACGCCGCGUGAGGGAUGGAGGCCUUCGGGUUGUGAACCUCUUUCGCCAGUGAAGCAGGCCUGCCUCGUUUGUGGGUGGGUUGACGGUAGCUGGAGAAGAAGCGCCGGCUAACUACGUG